UCCCAGGGCACAAAGGAUCCUUCCUUCUAGU
rnacentral:piRNA from 1 species